AAGCUUGAAGGUUUCCAGGACAUCACUCAAACCUGAGCAUGGACAUACAUAGUUAUACUUAUGGGAGCUGAGAGGAUUAAAGCCUAGGAACUGUCACACUGAAAUACAGACCUGGACUGCCUUGAGUAAAAAAAGAACUCCGUUAACUGACAACUCCAUCACCCCAUCAGACAGUGUGGCAGGGACAUUUCCCCUUCACCCUUUUGCAGGAUGCUGUAUCACCUUCAGACCCAAGGAACAUCACUAGAAAACAGAAACUGAAGACAGAAUCCUGUCAU
rnacentral:lncRNA from 1 species